rnacentral:lncRNA from 1 species
UUUGUUCUGUUCCCUAUUGUGUUUGCAGAGGUGCCCAGUGGCAGCAGACUUUGUAAAGAACAGCUGCUGGAUGAAGCAAUUAUUCCUGGAACUUCCAAGUCGUAACCUCAGAUCCACAGGACCUGAAAAUCUGCCAUGGAUACACCGGGCCAGCAGUGAUGAAGGUCUCCAUAUUCCUAUAGGCAAAACCCUCUGCCUUGGUCCACCUGGAAGUACAGCCUGUCUGUCAGCUCAACCCACCAUGCUACAUCUUCAAGCAUCCCAGCUUUCCUAAGCCAAAGGUGAUGGGGCCAUAUUUUGUUCUCUACAAAAGAGAUAUAACAUAUCAAGGGGAUUAGAAGUCAUUUCUAGAAAGCUUACUCUGAACCAUGUAUGUUGUAAGUGCAGAG